rnacentral:rRNA from 1 species
UACGUAGGGGGCAAGCGUUGUCCGGAUUUAUUGGGCGUAAAGAGCGUGUAGGCGGCCAAGCAGGUCCGCUGUGAAAACUCGAGGCUCAACCUCGAGAUGUCGGCGGAAACCGUCUGGCUAGAGUCCGGAAGAGGAGAGUGGAAUUCCUGGUGUAGCGGUGAAAUGCGCAGAUAUCAGGAAGAACACCUAUGGCGAAGGCAGCUCUCUGGGACGGUACUGACGCUGAGACGCGAAAGCGUGGGGAGCGAACAGG